UUCGAAUUACGACCUCAACUCAAGCAAGACUACCCGCUGAACUUAAGCAUAUCAGUAAGCGGAGGAAAAGAAACUAAAGCGGAGGAAAAGAAACUAAAGCGGAGGA
rnacentral:rRNA from 1 species